UAAAAGGGGCCACCUCCAGAGUGUCUUUGCUAAGGAGGGUUUAACUGAAAUAAUACAGAAGACAGACUUUGUGGUAUGACUUUUACUGAGAACUUCCAAGUUUUGACAGUUUAUAAAGUGACUUGGUUGAAUAUGAAACUUCCAAAAGGCCUUGAUCAGCUGUUUACGUUUAAUGUACAUAUGCUUAAAACAUUUUCUCCAAACUGUCUUACAAUGAUUUGAUCAUGUCCUCCUUAACAAGUGCAAGGAACAAAGCUUCUCAACAGAUGUCUCAUGCUGCAGCUGAAUGUUAACUUGAAUAUAAUGUAACAUUUCCUGUUGAAGUACAAAUGGGAAAUUCAAUAGGCUCUCCAGGCCAACAGAGCAGAAAAGAAACUUAGAAGACUUGUUCUGUGUGUGUAGAUUUUUUUUCUACCCUUGAAAGCUUAAUUGGGAGAAGUAAGGGCUAAAUGUUGAAUAUAUUGAUUGUGGAUCUGGUAACCUCUCACUGUAGCUCAAUGUGUAGAACAAUAUGGCCUUUUAAAACUUACCAUGAAUAAGUUUAAUGUAUGCUCUCUGGUUUCCUUGUUAAAGAACACUUGCACCUUAGAAGUAUUUGAAGAGAAAAAUGUAUUAUUUGUUCUCUGUAUCCAGUAAUCACUACAGGUAAAAUCUGAUGAAAACAGGGGCCCUGAUACAAUUAGAAAGGAGUACCUGGUGGGAUGGUGAUUUUCAGUCAAGCAAAAUGGAGGAAAGGGAAACAUAUUAAUAAUGGGGGAAACUGUCAGAGCACAAUACAAAUGUCGGUGAUCAAACACUAUUAGAGAUGUGAAGGUAUUAGAAAACCCAUCAGUCAUCAUACUGCUGAGGUAUCUAUUGUGGGGUGUGUGGGCAAAGUUUUAGUCAUAGAAACUGGUACCCAUCAACACCCUCAACCCCAAAUUUAGAUUUUUUUAAUUUUUAUAAUAAUCAGUUUUUAAGUAGCAAGUGCUCUGCCACAAAAGAAAGCUCCAGCCCUAUCUUUUUUUUGAAAAUCUUCUCUACAUCCAACAUGGCAUUCCUAACAGUUAAAAAACAGUGGAUGGUGGCAUUGUUCUGCAUGUUCAACUACCCAAUAGAAAAGAAAAUGGAAUCCUGGAGUGGUGUGGAGCAUUCUAGGGAAGCUAAAAGUGGUGGCAGAGAAUUAGGAGAAUAUUUUGCCUGUGUAUUGUGCACAUAUGUUUUUCACAUGUACGUAUGUUAGGUUUUGCUGUAGAUUGUCUUGCCUGGUAUUACUAUGUUUGAAAGGCGAGAGGAGAGUACAGAAGCUCUUGUUGGAGUGUUGUCCAUCUGUAGGGUCUCUAAAGAGAUCACCCCUCCGCCAACCCCUCGUGAGAGCAUGCAUUGGGGAGUAGACACCCGGGAAUUGGAGGAAAACCUACAAGGCUUAACUGUAGCUACACAGACUGAAAUAGAAUUGGUGGGAAAAGAGGAGAGGGGGAGGUCCAUAAUAGAGGUGGGAAUGGGAGAGAUAAAAUGGGAGACAGCAUACCCGGGGGGGGGGUUGGGAACUGAUCUGGGUAGAGGAUCCUUGGAUGGGCAAAUGGGAGAAGGUAAAGGUGCCCCGGGAGGAAGCUAUCAUUGGAGAAAGGUGCUAUGCCAGUGACCGUCCUACUGGGGGGAGUCAGAGGCAUGAGAGUGGAGGAGGAGGCUGAAAGGGGAGAGAGAAGCAGUAGCUAGGGAAGCCGAGGAAUGCCGGGCAUGGCGUGCGGAGGAAGCACGGAGGAUAGCAUACCUCCAGGACCGGGGGUUCAUUUGAACGGGAGGGGGAGUCGCUUUGGGAGCCCUAUUAAUAGGGGAUGAAGAAGAACACCUUCACCCAAGUUAUGAUCCCUUUUUGCCUGGACCAUGGGAAACCAAAUCUUUGAACCCCUUGAACCUGAUUUUUGGUUGCCCUUGCAGUGCCCAUUGGCACUGCGAGAAAAUUUACAAGAGCCGUUAAAAGAAGUUUUACAUUUAAAUGUGGAUUUCACUUUAAAAACAACUCCUGUUUUAUUUGAUAAAGAAAUGGAGCCUAGAUAUGAACCCUCACACUAUGUUUGCUCUCUUGGCGUGUUCUUGCCUACUUAAGAGUUGUUGCUGCCUUUAAGUUACUAUGGGUGUGAGGAGUGGGUAUCCAGGUUGGGGGCAGAGAAUGGAAUGUGGACAGAUAAAACUGUGUUCUAAUGGGCUUGGCUGUACAGUCACUGUUUUUUAAAUACAGUGGUGCCUCGCAUAACGUUUUUAAUUGGUU